UCCGUAGGGUGCAAGCGUUAAUCGGAAUUACUGGGCGUAAAGCGUGCGCAGGCGGCUUUGCAAGACAGAUGUGAAAUCCCCGGGCUUAACCUGGGAACUGCAUUUGUGACUGCAUGGCUGGAGUGCGGCAGAGGGGGAUGGAAUUCCGCGUGUAGCAGUGAAAUGCGUAGAUAUGCGGAGGAACACCGAUGGCGAAGGCAAUCCCCUGGGCCUGCACUGACGCUCAGGCACGAAAGCGUGGGGAGCAAACAGG
rnacentral:rRNA from 1 species